GCGCUGGUGAUUCAGUUGUAAAAUUCUCGCCUGCCACGUGGGAGACCGGGGUUCGAUUCCCCGCUAGCGCA